rnacentral:lncRNA from 1 species
AGGGAGAUGUUGCUGGGGCCAGGAUGGGCUGGGAUUCUGUUUGCUUUGCUUAGGAGAUGGUGGGGCAAUCAGAGAUCAGGGGCCUGUGAGCUGCUGUGAGAAGGGAAGGAGGGGCUUGGGAUUUGGGCCCAGGAAUUCCCAUCAGGAAUGAAACACUUUCCACCUGCUGCCACCUAAAGCGCCUAACUCCGUCAUGGAAUUUGCGUGCAGACAGUUAGAUCGGACUUUGGAAACAGAGGAUGAAUAAUGAGUUUCCUUCUUUCUGUUCACAGAGGCCAGCCAAGAGCCAGAGCUGGAGCCAGGCCUCUGGUCGUAAACUAAACAACAGAACCAGUUAUUGGUUUCAAGUCUGACUGCCUCCUCUUGUAAGGACUUUGGAACUUGGAGAAGCUCCCUUACCCUUUAUAAGCCAGCAGAAAGAAGUAUGAUUGUCAAGACCCCAGACAGAAUGGCAGGAGGCUUUCCUAUAGAGACAGAGCUUAUCAACUGGUGAUCUUCACUGUGAGAUGAUUGAGUGAGAACCUGGCUAAUUCAUUGGGGACCCCAAAAUGACAUUAUCUAUGGGUCUUUUCUUUGAGAGCAGUUCCAGUCUCCUCAGAGAUGAAUUCUCCAGUUUCCUGCCUGGAAAAUAUAUACCUGACUGCUGGUGUUCUUGGAACCAAUGUUUUUGGAGUGUAGGAAAAGGGACCUUAUUGUAGACUUUCAUUUAGUGCCCCUAUUUUCAAUAGAAUGCCCAUUCCCUAUUUUUAACUCUAUCUGGGGCAUCUGGGUCUGGGGCUUCUGUGGAUCAAUUUAGUUUGAAUAAACUUCCAAUCUCCUGCCAGAGUAGGGAAAAGGUAUUUUCCUGGCUGAGCAGGUUGAGGGAGGAGAACUAAGAGUGGUCUAGCUGCUUUUCUCGCACACAUGCAACCAAAUCCUCUGCUUUCGGCCUCUUGACACACCCCUGCUUUCUUUGGUCACUGGUGUCUCUAAUUUCUGAGCUUCCCAGGCAUUCCACAGCAUGAAUUGUCUUGCUUCUCAUUUUGCAGCCCCCACUCUGCAGACAUUUGCUCUUCAGUCCCUUCAGCUCUGCUAACCUGCAUCUACUUUCUAUCUUCCAAAAACGUCUUGGCAUAUCUAGUCUUCUGCUGCCUUCAUUACCAUUCUCUCUGUCUUUGUGGGAUUUUACCCCUUAAAAAACUAAUUUCUCUUCAUUUUAGCGUAGUUUUAGAAGAGAUAAUAGAUAAACAUGUAUUUAAUGUCAUAUUUAAUUGGAAGUCCUCCAAUUGUAUUUAUUAAAAUGAAAAAUUCACAUGCUCCUUGACUUGGAAAUCUCACUUAUGAUAAUUUAACUGUCAGAAAUAAAAGUGCCAGUAUUGUAUAGGUAAGUUUACAAGAGUGUUUACUGCAAUAGUAAUAGCAACAAUCAGAGUGUCCGCUGAUAAGGAACAGUUAUGUAAAUUAUGGUGUAUUUAUACUAUGGACUACUCUCCAAUCAUUAAAAGGAAUAAGGCAUAUUGACUUGGAAAGCCAUCCAUGAUAUAUUGCUGAGUAAAAGAGAAGGCUAUAGUAACCCCAUGUUUGUGAAAGAAAGUGAACUAGUAUUAUAUGUUUAUAUGUUUGUAUACAUGAAGAAUAAAGUGUGUAAGGAGUCAUACUAGAUUUUUAACAGUGAUUACAUUGGGGGAUGGCUUUGGAUGGGGAGUGGAAGAAUAUAUCAAUUUAACUUUAGAAACUUUUUUAUUGUCUUUGAAGUGUUUCAGUUAACCUGUGUUGCUUUUGUUAUUCAAACGCCAAAAUAAACAUGCUUAAAAAAAGUUGUAGAUGCAAGAAUGUUCACUGCAGCAUUAUUUAUGAUGGUGAAAAAUUGGAAAAUAAUAUAAAUGUCUGACAAUAAAGACUGGUUAAACACAUUUGAAAUAUCUGUAUGGCAGAAUAUUAGGAGCCUAUUAUAAUGAUCUUUUAGACAAAUUUUAAUGUUGUGGUAAAAUGGUCAUGAAUAAUGCAAGGUGAGAAAAGUAGAAUAC